AACGUCAAUCUGUUUUUAUUUUUCAAGCAGAUCAUAAUUUGUGACGAAUUUGGAAUUAUGUAAUGCUGUAAAUGACUGAUCUUUGCAAUUAUAUCAACAAACUUUACAUAUGCUUACAAAAUUAUAGUGUUUUGUAACUCACUGUAAAACUGAAAGUUGUGUUUUUUUAACUCUUUGAAUUGUAUGUGUGUCUGUGAUUGGAGAUUGUUUUCUGUAAACUUUCUCAAUAAAUGAGUCUUAUUUUUUAUGCGACAUACUAAUCUUUGUCUUUAUAGUCUUUACAGUUCAAAACUCACCAUGCUGUAGGAUGAUGAGGUGACAAUGGGACUUGCAGUUUUCUCCAUGAAUGCUACUAAAGAUGAUCUAAGUGAUGAUAACCCUGUAGCCACAAUGAAUGAUAGAACAGCUGGCUACAACUGAGAAAUGCAAAGGCUUUCUGUUAAAGAACCCAACAUAGAUCCUUCCCUUUUUCCCACUAGAGCUUUAUGUCCAACUACAACAUUGUCUUCUAUGAUUUUAUUUCUUUGUUACCAUCCUAAGUUUCUUAAAAUAUUUUUUCUCAGCUUCAAUACUGCUCUUCUGUUUAUGCAAGUCUUGUGACAAGUGCUAAAUGUAACCACAUAAGCAGAACAUAUCCAUAAUUCAUAAUAGAUCCUGAAACAAUCAGUUAAUUACGCUUUAAGACAUUAUUAAAUACUGAACACAUCAUUACUCUUAUAAUCAUUUGGCACCUCAAUCUAAAGCAUCAAAUAGUAUGGGGACUUUGCUGUAACUUACUUUUUGCAAACAAAGUUGUCUUUAACAGUUUUUUUAAAUUGUUGCUAAAUUGUUGUUGUUGUUUUUUGGGCCUAAGGUUGGUGCUCUGAGGUUGAUUGGUAGGCUCUACAAUCAUAUAAUAGAAAACUCUCUUUUACACAUCAUAAUGUAGUAAUAUUGUAUUUGAAUUAAUUAAAAUGUUACAGGUUGUGGAAAAUUCAAGAGAGGUAAACAAAGUUACAUAAAUUCUCAGAACAAUUAACCAAAAGUAACAGAGUGCAUGGGAACUGGUAUAUUAAUCAAAAACAAUAUUAAUAGGCUAAUAUAAAAAUAUUUCUUACAGUCUAUGGUGUGCACGUGCAUGUCCCCAGAUAACACGAUCCCCAGUUGAUCCAUAACACCGGCACCCACAUUUACGUCAAAAAUAAGGUGGAUAGUUUCACUAAAGAACUGAAGGGGAUCUAAAAGUUAGCCAUUGCAGUGGUGGUCAUGCUGCUCCCACACGCGACUUCAGUGGAUGUGGCGUUUUCACCCACCGUCCUUUGAUUAAAGACGAAAAAGGAACAUCUGAUAUUACCUGAAGGACGGACACUCAACUAAUCUCUCACUCUCUUGGUAUUUGGCGGGUCGCAAGCAAGGUGCAUACCGCCACCUACUGUACCGGAAUAUGCAACCUCAUGGCUUCACGUACUUAUAAAAGGUGACAAUAGCAUCAGAUGGGGAACAGUUUUCUGUUCCUACUCAUACCCCAGGGACAACUCUGCCGUCCUAUGCCAAGGAUUUGCAGCAAUUUGUGGCCUCCUGUCCCCAACUUAGUAAGAAAAUUGAGGACAUGAAAAAAGAAAAUAAGCUGCUACCUAUAAAAAAUAGGUUUCGGCAUUAAUUUUUUUUUUUUUUUUUUUGUACAAUUUGUUUAAACCAAUUGUUUGUUUUCUCUGUUCAACUGUUGGCAAUUAUUGUUAUUUAUACACUUUGUACAGUGUGAUUUCAAGAUUAUUUCUGUUCUGUUUACAGUUUGUACAGUGUUGAUGUCAUUUCAACAUUGUGAUUGUUUAUUGUUAAACUUGUUUUAAUAAAUGUUUUUGGUUUAAUUGUGCUACUGUUCUUUUACAAGUACUAAUUUAGAAAUUUGUUGAUAAUGCUAAUGGUGAAGCUAGGUUUGUCUGUUUCAGCAUACUGGUUUAAUGUUGUAUUUACCCAGUAACUACACAGAACAAGGGGGUAACAAGCGCCAUUUUAAUUUACAGCCCGCAGGAGUUACACUUACCCUGUAAAUACACAGUUGAAACGGGUAACAAACACUACUUACUAUGUAACAAUACGAAACAACACUAUUUGCACAGUAAUUACAGAGAAAGGUACUCU